GGGCUGCCUCUUUGUGGAAAAAAGGUUCGGAAACACUAUUGGUUGUCUCUCAUAGAGAGUUGAAACAAGAUUAGCUUUUUGAAAAGGCAAACUUCUUUCCUAGGGUAGUAGGCUCACCUUAAUUAAUUCGAUUCUAAGUGCCCUUCCCUCUUACUACAUGUCAAUCUUCAAGCUUCCCAAGUGGGUGAUCCUUAGAAUGGA
rnacentral:lncRNA from 1 species